GAUGAACGCUGGCGGCGUGCCUAACACAUGCAAGUCGAGCGGCAGCGAGGGGUGCUUGCACCCUGUCGGCGAGCGGCGGACGGCUGAGUAACGCGUGGGAACGUGCCCCAAAGUGAAGAAUAACUGCCCGAAAGGGUAGCUAAUACCGCAUAUUAUCUUCGGAUCAAAGGAUUUAUCCGCUUUGGGAGCGGCUCGCGUCGGAUUAGGUAGUUGGUGAGGUAAUGGCUCACCAAGCCGACGAUCCGUAGCUGGUCUGAGAGGAUGACCAGCCAGACUGGAACUGAGACACGGUCCAGACUCCUACGGGAGGCAGCAGUGAGGAAUCUUCCACAAUGGGCGAAAGCCUGAUGGAGCAACGCCGCGUGCAGGACGAAGGCCUUCGGGUUGUAAACUGCUUUUAUAAGUGAGGAAUAUGACGGUAACUUAUGAAUAAGGAUCGGCUAACUACGUG
rnacentral:rRNA from 1 species